CGAACGCUGGCGGCGUGCUUAACACAUGCAAGUCGAACGAUGAUGCCCAGCUUGCUGGGUGGAUUAGUGGCGAACGGGUGAGUAACACGUGAGUAACCUGCCCCUGACUCUGGGAUAAGCGUUGGAAACGACGUCUAAUACUGGAUAUGAUCACUGGCCGCAUGGUCUGGUGGUGGAAAGAUUUUUUGGUUGGGGAUGGACUCGCGGCCUAUCAGCUUGUUGGUGAGGUAAUGGCUCACCAAGGCGACGACGGGUAGCCGGCCUGAGAGGGUGACCGGCCACACUGGGACUGAGACACGGCCCAGACUCCUACGGGAGGCAGCAGUGGGGAAUAUUGCACAAUGGGCGAAAGCCUGAUGCAGCAACGCCGCGUGAGGGAUGACGGCCUUCGGGUUGUAAACCACUUUUAGUAGGGAAGAAGCGAAAGU
rnacentral:rRNA from 1 species